UACAGAGGUCUCAAGCGUUGUUCGAUUCAUUGGGCGUAAAGGGUGUGUAGGUGGCGCCGUAAGUCGGGUGUGAAAUUUCGGAGCUUAACUCCGAAACUGCAUUCGAUACUGCGGUGCUUGAGGACUGGAGAGGAGACUGGAAUUCAUGGUGUAGCAGUGAAAUGCGUAGAGAUCAUGAGGAAGACCAGUGGCGAAGGCGGGUCUCUGGACAGUUCCUGACACUGAGACACGAAGGCCAGGGGAGCAAACGGG
rnacentral:rRNA from 1 species